GCUUAGAGUUUGAUCCUGGCUCAGGAUGAACGCUGGCGGCGUGCCUAAUACAUGCAAGUCGAACGGGAAUCCCUGAUUUCGGUUAGGGAGGAGAGUGGCGCACGGGUGAGUAACACGUAGCUGACCUACCCUUCGCAGGGGGAUAACUUGCCGAAAGGCGAGCUAAUACCGCGUAGACUCCAAGGGGUUAGAGACCCUGGGAGGAAAGCGAUGGCAGCGGCGAAGGCAGGGGCUGCGGCCCAUCAGCUAGUUGGUGAGGUAACGGCUCACCAAGGCGGUGACGGGUAGGGGGCCUGAGAGGGUGACCCCCCACACUGGGACUGAGACACGGCCCAGACUCCUACGGGAGGCAGCAGUAAGGAAUAUUGCCCAAUGGGUGCCAACCUGAGGCAGCAACGCCGCGUGGAGGAGGAAGGGUUUCGGCUCGUAAACUCCUUUUCUGAGGGAAGAGGAAGGACGGUACCUCAGGAAGAAGUCUCGGCUAACUACGUGCCAGCAGCCGCGGUAAAACGUAGGAGGCGAGCGUUAUCCGGAUUUACUGGGCGUAAAGCGCGUGCAGGCGGUUAGACAAGUCAGGCGUGAAAGCUCCCGGCUCAACUGGGAGAGGACGUCUGAAACUGUGUAACUUGAGAGAGGUAGAGGCUUACGGAAAUU
rnacentral:rRNA from 1 species